GACGAACGCUGGCGGCGUGCUUAACACAUGCAAGUCGAACGGAAAGGCCCUGCUUUUGUGGGGUGCUCGAGUGGCGAACGGGUGAGUAACACGUGAGUAACCUGCCCUUGACUUUGGGAUAACUUCAGGAAACUGGGGCUAAUACCGGAUAGGAGCUCCUGCUGCAUGGUGGGGGUUGGAAAGUUUCGGCGGUUGGGGAUGGACUCGCGGCUUAUCAGCUUGUUGGUGGGGUAGUGGCGUACCAAGGCUUUGACGGGUAGCCGGCCUGAGAGGGUGACCGGCCACAUUGGGACUGAGAUAGGGCCCAGAAUCCUACGGGAGGCAGCAGUGGGGAAUAUUGCACAAUGGGCGGAAGCCUGAUGCAGCAACGCCGCGUGCGGGAUGACGGCCUUCGGGUUGUAAACCGCUUUCGCAUGUGACGAAGCGUGAGUGACGGUAAUGGGUAAAGAAGCACCGGCUAACUACGUG
rnacentral:rRNA from 1 species